UGUUUUCACUCUUUCUCUCAGGAGUAUUCUUCAAUAACAUUUAUUUACAAGUUUAGGAUCCCGUAGUGUGUAUUUUUAUGCAUGGGUACAUUACUUAGUGCUUUGAGCGUUCUGUUGAGUUUGGAAACAGUGUGUCCUAAGUUUCUCUCCUCCAAACCCCCCUAUGUUUACUGCUAUUAGUUUAUCACAAUGUUUGAGUUGUAUGAAAUGGGAAAAGGUUAUCAGCAGAUUAGAUAAGUGCAGUGCUUUUAGACAAGGAACAUAAUACUGUCUAAAAAUAAAAUGUGAUUUCAUUGAACCAGAGUGGUUGAUAUAUUUGUAUAAUUGUUUCAACUACAUCUUUAAUCAUCUGCUAGAUCCUCCCAUGCUGUUGUGCUUUGCAGGAUUUUUUUAUUAUUAUUUAUUUUUUAUUUUUUAUUCAGAAUAAUAGGUUGUUGUAGGUUUGACAGAGAUGGAAACACCCAGAUCUCUGAAAUGACCCUUUAAAGUUACAGCGUUAAGAGGUGAAGGACAAUUGAUAUAGUUUGGUCCCUACUGCACAAAGCUGUGUACAAAAUGAAGAAAAAGGAAAGUCUUCGCCCAAAUAAGUAAUCGUGCCCAAAAACUCAGCGGAUUGCUCAAUGUUUUUUGAGAUAUUUAGCUGAUGGAAGACCUUUUUGAGAAACUAAGGCACUGACGAUAUUUCUGGAUGCAAGGAAAAAGCAAAACUGAAAGGCACGUCCCCAGGAGGCAGCUCCACAUUGAGGCUGAGAAAGCAGGAGCCCUUAUCUGCAUAUGAUGUUCACAAAGGGCCUGCUGGAACAUCCAAGUCCAGUCUGCACUCGUGAAGCACCUGCUCUGCAGGCUUCUUCCUUCACCCUUGCAACUUCCAUGGGACUUUUUUCCGAGGAACUCAUUUUAGCCCCAGAUCUUGCAAGGUGAGAUAUUUAUACAACCUAAGCCCAGAGUCUCUGAGGAGCAACUAGGAUUACCAAACCAUUAAAUUUCAGUAAGAUGAGACUUCUCAGAUUCUAUGGAUUUUACAGCAUUUUUGCAGACUGACAGGCACUGUCAGCUGGGAGCUCAGCAUGGUUUCUCGUUCCCUGCUACCAGGUAGAUGUUCACCUGCAGCUCCAUCCGUUCACAAGUACAUGGUUCUCCUGGACGUUUUAUUGCCAAGUUCUAGAAAAAAUAAAUAUGAGAUGUCAGAGAAAAACA
rnacentral:lncRNA from 1 species